UUCUACUGCUGAGAGAACGGUAUGUUUUAGUGGCGGACGGGUGAGUAACACGUGAGCAACCUGCCUUACAGAGGGGGAUAACGUCUGGAAACGGACGCUAAUACCGCAUAAGAUCGUAAGACCGCAUGGUCCAGCGACCAAAGGAGCAAUCCGCUGUAAGAUGGGCUCGCGUCCGAUUAGCUAGUUGGUGAGGUAACGGCUCACCAAGGCGACGAUCGGUAGCCGACCUGAGAGGGUGAUCGGCCACAUUGGAACUGAGAGACGGUCCAAACUCC
rnacentral:rRNA from 1 species